AUUUUAUCUACUGCUGCUACCCCUUUGUGUUGCAAGUGUUUGAAUUAAACAACCUUAAUAUUUCAGAAAAUUCAAAUUAAACAUGCAAGAAAUUGCAGGAUAAUUCAAAAUUAUAUACCUGUUUCCAAGAACUACAUGCAAUUCAAUAAUCAAAUUCUCUUCCUCCUGAGAAAAUGUCCCUCUUUUCAAAUCAGACCUUAAUUAAUUAAUCCACCUUAACCUACAGCUCUUUCCCUACCGUUGAAGCCCUUCAAGAUUAUCGCACAACAGUGUGAUCAGAAACGAAAAACACGAAAAUAAAAUCGAAAAUGGCUAACGAAAAAUAAAGUUAUUACCUGCUAGUUUAGGGACAGAACUCCAACAUCCAUGUCCAUAUUUAGUUAUGUGCUUUAUAAGUUUUUCGUCUUCUUCAGGAGACCACGGACCUUUCCUUAACUACAUAAAUGCCCAACUUAAAAGUUCAGCUUGGGUCUCAAAAUCUCAAUUACAGCCUUGGUUGAGUUAUUCGGUAAAUGUGAAUGUAUGAUUAGUCAAUGUAGGAAUUUGUUGUUGUGUUUUAUGUAAUAUAGGAUUUUGUUCUUCCUUUUGGUGUAUGAUAUAUAUAUAUAUAUAUAGAUCUUCCUAAGGUCAUUAAAGAAGUUCUUCAUAUCAGACAAUGUCGUCAUUCUUAAAUUCAAAAACUAGAAAUUUCCAAAUACUAACUUUCCUAUAUUGUUUGUUAAGGAAAUUCUACCCAAAUGAGUGAUGAAGUUGGAGCUGUGUUUCUAAUGAAGAGAAAGGUUCCGAUGAAGAGGAGUUUUACAAUGCUGAAAGGAAUUCCUAUCUUUUGUGUAUUCAGGGUUUAAAUCUUAUGUAACUAAUGCUUAACGCAAAUAAAUUUUUUUGUAUAUCCACGCUAUUAAGUAGCCAACUAUACUAUAGUACUGCCUUGCACGUGUAUUCAAAAAUAUGUAAUGAAAUUAUCAAUUUUUAUGCAAUUACAAAAUUUGUCA
rnacentral:lncRNA from 1 species